GAUGAACGCUAGCUACAGGCUUAACACAUGCAAGUCGAGGGGAAACGGCAUUGAGUGCUUGCACUCUUUGGACGUCGACCGGCGCACGGGUGAGUAACGCGUAUCCAACCUUCCCAUUACUGUGGGAUAACCUGCCGAAAGGCAGACUAAUACCGCAUAGUCUUCGAUGACGGCAUCAGAUUUGAAGUAAAGAUUUAUCGGUAAUGGAUGGGGAUGCGUCUGAUUAGCUUGUUGGCGGGGUAACGGCCCACCAAGGCGACGAUCAGUAGGGGUUCUGAGAGGAAGGUCCCCCACACUGGAACUGAGACACGGUCCAAACUCCUACGGGAGGCAGCAGUGAGGAAUAUUGGUCAAUGGACGGAAGUCUGAACCAGCCAAGUAGCGUGCAGGAUGACGGCCCUAUGGGUUGUAAACUGCUUUUGUAUGGGGAUAAAGUUAGGGACGUGUCCCUAUUUGCAGGUACCAUACGAAUAAGACGG
rnacentral:rRNA from 1 species